UGUAAGGUGGGUCUUAAAUUAGUGUGAGUUAUUUUGGCACCGGACUCAACCUUCACGUUACAAUAUUUAAAGUAUUGCGCUGUCAUAGUAACGAAAAUGAUAAACACGUCAAUCGGAGUAAACAAGUAACUAAAUGAUGCAAACAAGAAAAUAUUGCAAAAUAGGUACAUAUAUAUGUACCGAUAAUUAUUUUGUGUUAAAAAUGUGAGGCAAAUUAUACUGCCCGAUUAUACGGACUACAUAUUAAAAACGAUUAUCUUGGAAACAGUCAAUAGAUGUCGAACCACCAGCAAAGUUUUUGAAGAGGUGUAGUUCCUGGUAUCAACUGGAAACUGAAACUAAUAAUCUACACUCAAGAAAAUGAAAUAUAGUCACAGAAAACUUUAAUGUUUUAUUUUAUUAAAGAAAAACGUUAAAAAAAUGUGUAAACAGAAA